rnacentral:rRNA from 1 species
UGGGGAAUUUUGGACAAUGGGCGAAAGCCUGAUCCAGCAAUACCGCGUGCAGGACGAAGGCCUUCGGGUUGUAAACUGCUUUUGUACGGAACGAAACGGUUCAGAUUAAUACUCUGAACUAAUGACGGUACCGUAAGAAUAAGCACCGGCUAACUACGUGCCAGCAGCCGCGGUAAUACGUAGGGUGCAAGCGUUAAUCGGAAUUACUGGGCGUAAAGCGUGCGCAGGCGGUUAUGUAAGACAGGCGUGAAAUCCCCGAGCUCAACUUGGGAAUUGCGUUUGUGACUGCAUAGCUAGAGUACGGCAGAGGGGGAUGGAAUUCCGCGUGUAGCAGUGAAAUGCGUAGAUAUGCGGAGGAACACCGAUGGCGAAGGCAAUCCCCUGGGCCUGUACUGACGCUCAUGCACGAAAGCGUGGGGAGCAAACA